CCUACGGGAGGCAGCAGUGAGGAAUAUUGGUCAAUGGACGAGAGUCUGAACCAGCCAAGUAGCGUGAAGGAUGACUGCCCUAUGGGUUGUAAACUUCUUUUAUAUGGGAAUAAAAUGUUCCACGUGUGGGAUUUUGUAUGUACCAUAUGAAUAAGGAUCGGCUAACUCCGUGCCAGCAGCCGCGGUAAUACGGUGGAUCCGAGCGUUAUCCGGAUUUAUUGGGUUUAAGGGGAGCGUAGGUGGAUUGUUAAGUCAGUUGUGAAAGUUUGCGGCUCAACCGUAAAAUUGCAGUUGAAACUGGCAGUCGUGAGUACAGUAGAGGUGGGCGGAAUUCGUGGGGUAGCGGUGAAAUGCUUAGAUAUCACGAAGAACUCCGAUUGCGAAGGCAGCUCACUGGACUGCAACUGACACUGAGGCUCGAAAGUGUGGGUAUCAAACAGGAUUAGAUACCCCGGUAGUC
rnacentral:rRNA from 1 species